UCAAUCCAUUCCAAAAUAAAGCUUUUGUGCACAUAAAGCCCAAGAAUAUGGUCCCUUUUAGACUUUGGGUAGUCCAAGCUGAGCCCAAAUAAACUGGGUUCUCUUUGCGUUACAAUUCCAAAUUAAUAAAAAACCUAAACGAACCAGACACAGCAAGAGAAGAGAAGAAGAGGAAGAAGAAGAUGAUAUACAGGAAAUGGAGUCUGUUAACGGGACCCGUCACGAUCUUGGGGGGCAUAGUAGGCACUGUCGUCGUCGCCAACUUCGUCUUCAAUGAUAACGAUCGAUUUCUGAAGCCGGAGGCAAGGAAGGCGGAUGCAUCCACUUCAAGCAAAUAAGAGGAGGAAGGUGAAACAGCUGCAUUUUCAAAGUAAUUCAAGCUUUUAGCUUUCUGUCUUUAUUUGUUGUUCUGCAAAAUUGUGGUGAUGCUGCACCUUCAGACAUGACUUGUCGGUUUAAUAAUCCAGAAUUCAAAUGUGAGUUCUGAUUUAAGGUUGUGUAGUUAAAUUUCGUGGGAUAUGUUCUCUCUGUUGUCUUGACAUUUCUUGCUUUUCAAGCUGAGAAGAAUUAAUCAAAUUCCAUUGCUUCUGUUA